rnacentral:rRNA from 1 species
UACGUAGGUCUCAAGCGUUGUUCGGAUUCAUUGGGCGUAAAGGGUGUGUAGGCGGCGCCGUAAGUCGGGUGUGAAAUUUCGGAGCUUAACUCCGAAACUGCAUUCGAUACUGCGGUGCUUGAGGACUGGAGAGGAGACUGGAAUUCAUGGUGUAGCAGUGAAAUGCGUAGAGAUCAUGAGGAAGACCAGUGGCGAAGGCGGGUCUCUGGACAGUUACUGACACUGAGGCACGAAGGCCAGGGGAGCAAACGGG